UAUGUGAUCGUCUCUCGCAUAUCAAUAAGCGGAGGAAAAGAAACUAACAAGGAUUCCCUUAGUAACGGCGAGUGAAGCGGGAAGAGCUCAAAUUUGAAAUCUUCAAGGUUUUACCUUGACGAAUUGUAGUUUAAAGAAGUGUUUUCUGUUGAAGUUUUGGUAAAAGUUCUUUGGAAUAGGACAUCAUAGAGGGUGAGAAUCCCGUAUUUGACCAUUAUUUUCAGCUGUGUGAUACACUUUCAAAGAGUCGGAUUGUUUGGGAAUGCAGUCCAAAAUGGGUGGUAAAUUUCAUCUAAAGCUAAAUAUUGGCGAGAGAUCGAUAGCGAACAAGUACCGUGAGGGAACGAUGAAAAGAACUUUGAAAAGAGAGUUAAACAGUACGUGAAAUUGUCAAAAGGGAAGCGUUUGACACCAGUGUUGUUUUCUCGAAAAUCAAUUAAAAAGAGUUAGAUUUUGUUGUGUAUUGACCUUAACAGCUUGCAUUUCAAUUUUCUUGCUUUUUUUAAUGCACUUUUCGUUUAACAAGUCAACAUCAGUUUCUUUUGUUGUAAAAAGGUCAUUGGAAGGUGGCUUUCUUUUCGGAGAAAGUGUUUAUAGCCUUUGACUCCUGCAAUCGGAGAGACUGAGGUCUGCAGCGUAGAUCCUUCGGGGUUAGAUACAUUUGUGCUAAGUUAUAGCUUUUUAUAGACAACUUGUUGACUAUGAUUAGUCUUGUAGCUUACUCGCUUAUGCUAUUUUACCUACGCUUAGGAUGUUGAAGAUGUAGCACAACAU
rnacentral:rRNA from 1 species